rnacentral:rRNA from 1 species
GAGGAAACUCUGAUGCAGCGACGCCGCGUGAGUGAAGAAGGUCUUCGGAUCGUAAAACUCUGUCCUUGGUGAAGAUAAUGACGGUAGCCAAGGAGGAAGCCCCGGCUAACUACGUGCCAGCAGCCGCGGUAAUACGUAGGGGGCGAGCGUUGUCCGGAUUUACUGGGCGUAAAGGGUGAGUAGGCGGUUAUGUAUGUCAGAUGUAAAAGGCACAGGCUUAACUUGUGUUAGCAUUUGAAACUGCAUAACUUGAGUGCAGGAGAGGUAAGUGGAAUUCCUAGUGUAGCGGUGAAAUGCGUAGAUAUUAGGAGGAACACCAGUGGCGAAGGCGACUUACUGGACUGUAACUGACGCUGAGUCACGAAAGCGUGGGUAGCAAACAGGAUUAGAUACCCUGGUAGUCCACGCUGUAAACGAUGAGUGCUAGGUGUUGGCCAGCGAUGGUCAGUGCCGAAGUAAACACAAUAAGCACUCCGCCUGGGGAGUAC